rnacentral:lncRNA from 1 species
GCCCACCAGGCUCCUCUGGCUAUGGGAUUCUCCAGGCAAGAAUGCUGGAGUGGGAUCUUCCUGACCCAGGGGCUGAACCCACAUCUCCUUCGUCUCCUGCACUGCAGGCAGUCUUGACUCACUGAAUGACUCAGAAACCUGGCCCCAAAGAGGUUUCGGUCUGAUGUGCUUGUCUAUGGAGUGAUAAUCUGAUUUCAUCAGUGGGUUGAUGCUUUGUCAACAGAGGAAUGUCGGGAGGAUCUAUUACAGAAUGGACAGCCAAGAUGAGAAGCUUGGACUCUUUGGGGAAAAAGAGCUGGAAGCAAGGAUGUUACUUGACGCUGGGUUGGGCCUGGAAGCUCCCAGCUGGGAGGUAGAAAGUCCUUGGAAGGCAGUGCCCAACAGGUGGGUCCUAGAUGCGAGCUCUUGACCUCUGGUUUCCAACCUCAGCCAA